UUAUAAAAAUUUAAAAUUUAUUACUUAAAAAUUAAUAGUUAUGUUCUUUAAAUUUAAAAAAUUUGGCGGUAUUUUAGUCUUAUUAGAGGAACCUGUUUAUUAAUUGAUAAUCCACGAUUAAUUUUACUUAUUUUUAAAAUUCAUAUAUCGCUGUCAUGAAUAUAUUUAAAAAUUUAUUUUCUUUAAUUAAUUUUAUAAUUUAUGUUAAGUCAAGAUGUGGUUUAUAAUUAAGUUUAUAAUGGGUUACAUUAAAUUUUAUUUUUGGAUUUUAUAUGAAAAUUUGUUAAUGAAAUUGGAUUUAAUAGUAAUUUUAAUUAUUUAAUUAAUAUGAAUAUAGAUCUAAAAUAUGUACAUAUUGCCCGUCAUUCUUAUUAAAUAUAAGACAAGUCGUAACAAAGUAAAUGUACUGGAAAGUGUAUUUAGAUAGA
rnacentral:rRNA from 1 species